AGACCCGAAACCCGGUGAUCUAGCCAUGGGCAGGUUGAAGGUUGGGUAACACUAACUGGAGGACCGAACCGACUAAUGUUGAAAAAUUAGCGGAUGACCUGUGGCUGGGGGUGAAAGGCCAAUCAAACCGGGAGAUAGCUGGUUCUCCCCGAAAGCUAUUUAGGUAGCGCCUCGUGAAUUCAUCUCCGGGGGUAGAGCACUGUUUCGGCUAGGGGGCCAUCCCGGCUUACCAACCCGAUGCAAACUGCGAAUACCGGAGAAUGUUAUCACGGGAGACACACGGCGGGUGCUAACGUCCGUCGUGAAGAGGGAAACAACCCAGACCGCCAGCUAAGGUCCCAAAGUCAUGGUUAAGUGGGAAACGAUGUGGGAAGGCCCAGACAGCCAGGAUGUUGGCUUAGAAGCAGCCAUCAUUUAAAGAAAGCGUAAUAGCUCACUGGUCGAGUCGGCCUGCGCGGAAGAUGUAACGGGGCUAAACCAUGCACCGAAGCUGCGGCAGCGACGCUUAUGCGUUGUUGGGUAGGGGAGCGUUCUGUAAGCCUGCGAAGGUGGCCUGUGAGGGUUGCUGGAGGUAUCAGAAGUGCGAAUGCUGACAUAAGUAACGAUAAAGCGGGUGAAAAGCCCGCUCGCCGGAAGACCAAGGGUUCCUGUCCAACGUUAAUCGGGGCAGGGUGAGUCGACCCCUAAGGCGAGGCCGAAAGGCGUAGUCGAUGGGAAACGGGUUAAUAUUCCCGUACUUGGUGUUACUGCGAAGGGGGGACGGAGAAGGCUAUGUUGGCCGGGCGACGGUUGUCCCGGUUUAAGCGUGUAGGUGUGUGUUCCAGGUAAAUCCGGUUCACUUUAACACUGAGGCGUGAUGACGAGGCACUACGGUGCUGAAGUAACAAAUGCCCUGCUUCCAGGAAAAGCCUCUAAGCAUCAGGUAACAUCAAAUCGUACCCCAAACCGACACAGGUGGUCAGGUAGAGAAUACCAAGGCGCUUGAGAGAACUCGGGUGAAGGAACUAGGCAAAAUGGUGCCGUAACUUCGGGAGAAGGCACGCUGACACGUAGGUGAAGU
rnacentral:rRNA from 1 species